AUGGAGGAUGUAGAAGCCGCGCUCCUAAGGGCGGGGAUAGCGGCGGACCCUGAUCUUGAAGCAGCGAUGCAAGCUCCUGUUACUGUUAUGCUGGGUCCCUCGGCCCUCCUCCUCCGGGAACUCGAUUCUUCCGGACAGAGUCUUCUCGGUGCGGAGGAGCUUCGUCUUCUUAGAGAUGCUCUCAGCGAAGUAUGCAUCCCCCUGAAGAAUAUGUCGGAAGAUGACGGCGCUAGCUUCAUGGCCAGGUGGUGGAUGAAGAUAGUUCGGGAGCUUUGUUAUGACACGCAGGAUUACCUCAACUUCGUCCAAAGUGCUCGAGAUCGUCGUGAUUUUUCAGAGUUGCCUGAUCGUGCCAAGGCUGUUUAUUCAGGCUUACUUGCUCGUGCCAUGGAUGCGAGGGAAAGACGCAGAGGUUUCCAGUGGUCUCCCAAGACCGCCAGGCCUGACACGCAGGAAGCCCGCGACCGCCGCAUCUCCAAAAUAUUGGCCCGGAUGCCGGGUUCCUUCGGUGUCCGUAGUACCACACCCGGUGCCGUGGUCGUGGAGGCCCCAAACAAGCUUGUCGAGCUGCUAGCUUUAGACGACGAUGUCGACGACAAGACACUCAAGGUGAUACCUAUAAUUGGAUGUGCAGGUGUUGGAAAGACAACAGCUGCCAGAACCUUGUAUCACAAGCAUGGAGGGAAAUUUCAGUGCCGGGCUUUCGUAAGUGUGUCUCCAAAUCCAGAUAUGAGGGGGAUCCUCACCAGCAUGCUCUCACAACUCAAGGCACCAAGACCCCCUGGUUUUCCUGAUGUGCUGGACCUUAUUGGUGCUAUCAGCAAGCAUCUCCAAGGCAAAGGGUACUUCAUCGUACUUGAUGAUUUAUGGACUGCAUCCGUAUGGCAUAUUGUUAGCCGCGCUUUUCCUCGUGGUGAUCAACGCAGCAGAAUAAUAACAACUACACAAGUGCAUGACGUAGCGCUGGCAUGCUCUGGUUAUCACUCGGUCCGUAUAUAUAAGAUGGAACUUCUUGAUGAAUAUGAAUCUCGAAAGUUAUUCUUCCGUGGGGUGUUUAGCUCUGCCCCUGGGGCUGGUUGUUCUCCAGCUACCAAAGAAGUCUCAUACGAGAUUAUCAGAAAAUGUGAAGGUUUGCCAUUAGCAAUUGUAAGUAUAGCCGGUCUGUUAGCAAGCGAAUCAAGAAUCGUCAUGGAAGAUUGGAAGAACAUACAGAAUUCUUUUUCCUCUACUUCCGAAGGGAUGAACGAUGUUUUAAACCUUAUCUACAAUAGUCUUCCACCUGGUUUGAGGACAUGCUUGCUAUAUCUGAGUAUGUAUCCACAGGGCUACGUGAUGAAGAAGGCUGAGUUGGUGAGGCACUGGGUAGCCGAAGGUUUUUUCGGUGAUGUGGAAGGGACAGUCACAUUGAAAAUUGCUGAGUGUUAUUUUGAUGAGCUUGUCAGCAGAGCAAUGGUCCAAGCAGUGGACACCAAUCAUAUUGGUGAGGUGUUGUCAUGUACGGUUCACCAUUUGGUACUGGAUUUUAUUAGGUCCAAAUCCUUGGAUGAGAAUUUUGUCACCACUGUGGACUAUUCUGAAUCAAUUCUAGCAAACACUGACAAAGUUCGUCGAUUAUCCAUCCAGUUUGGAGGGGUAAAAAGCGCAUACAUUCCAGAAACCAUCGUAACAUCGAAAGUUCGGUCACUUGCAUAUUGGGGUUUCUUCAAGUGUGCGCCUCCUUCCAUUAUGGAUUAUGGAUUUCUUCGUAUUCUGAAUCUUCAUAUUUGGGCUGAUGAAGACAAUGAGAUUUUUGACCUCAUUGGAAUCACAAAGCUUUCUCUUCUGAAGUAUCUCAAGAUUGAAUGUAAUAUCACCGUCAAACUUCCAGACAGGAUUGGAAUGCUCCGAUACUUGGAGACACUGGAAGUAGAUGCAAGAUUGUUUGCUGUUCCAUCAGAUAUGGAUAAUCUGGAGAGGUUACUGCACCUUCGCCUUCCGAGCGAGUCUAUUCUGCCCCAAGAAGUUGCCCGCGUGAGAUCUGUACGCUCUCUGGGGUAUCUUGACCUUAGCUAUUGCUCACCACUGAAUUUGUUAGAUCUUGUACGGCUGACCAAUCUCCAGGAUCUUCACCUCACCUGUUAUACUGUUCAGCCAGCUCACCUUCCGAGCGAGUCUAUUCUGCCUCAAGGAGUAGCCCACAUGUCAUCUCAUCGCAUGUCAUAUUUUGGUAUCAUCCGUUCCAUAACAUGGAAUUAUAACCUCCAGGAUCUCGAGCCCACCUGUUCUAUGGUACAGGGAGCAGAAACUCUGAAAAAGAAUGUGCAAAUCUUAGGCUCGAUUGUUGAGAAGUUUAGCUACUUGCACACCAUAACUUUGGUGCCUGCUUCAGUCUCCUCUCAUGAGGAUGAUGCUCAGGCUGCACCUGCAAGCAUAAUUAUUCCCCCUGAUGGCUUUGACAUGGCGUCUCCUCCUCCAGACCUGCUUCUACAGAGGAUCGAGCUGUCGCGACACUGCUGCAUCUUCUUCUGCAUACCUAAGUGGUUUGGAGAGCUAAGGAAACUCUGCAUCCUAAAGAUUGCAAUUAGGAGUCUGUCGAGGAGUGAUAUCGAGAUCCUGGAAAGAAUGCCGGCCCUCGCUGCUCUCACCCUGCACAAUCAGACAACUCCCACAGAAAAGAUGAUCAUGACUGACGGGGGAUUCUAUAGACUCACGUGCUUCAAGUUCUUGUGCGCUGCACCAUGCCUGUCAUUUGCACAGGGAGCAAUGCGCAGACUCCAAAAGCUCAACCUAGGAUUCAACUCAAAAGAAUGGAGAUCGGAUACCAUUGAAACUGUUGGCUUGAGUCACUUGAGAAGCCUUACGGAUGUAUGUGUAAGACUUGGUGCUGGGGCUGCUGACAACUUCAACGUAAAAGUUGCCGAGUCGGCAUUGGAGGCUGUCGUCAGGAAUCACCCCAACUCUCCCAGGAUCAGAAUAAAACUUGCGGAUGUGAUUUUUAUGGUGAGGAGGAUGAGAGGACCGUGA
rnacentral:rRNA from 1 species